rnacentral:rRNA from 1 species
UGGCUCAGGAUGAACGCUAGCGGCAGGCUUAACACAUGCAAGUCGAGGGGUAUAAGUCUUCGGAUUUAGAGACCGGCGCACGGGUGCGUAACGCGUAUGCAAUCUACCUUUUACAGAGGGAUAGCCCAGAGAAAUUUGGAUUAAUACCUCAUAGUAUUAUAGAAUGGCAUCAUUUUAUAAUUAAAGUCACAACGGUAAAAGAUGAGCAUGCGUCCCAUUAGCUAGUUGGUAAGGUAACGGCUUACCAAGGCUACGAUGGGUAGGGGUCCUGAGAGGGAGAUCCCCCACACUGGUACUGAGACACGGACCAGACUCCUACGGGAGGCAGCAGUGAGGAAUAUUGGACAAUGGGCGCAAGCCUGAUCCAGCCAUGCCGCGUGCAGGAUGACGGUCCUAUGGAUUGUAAACUGCUUUUAUACGAGAAGAAACACUCUUCGUGAAGGAAUUUGACGGUAUCGUAAGAAAUAAGGAUCGUGCUAA